rnacentral:rRNA from 1 species
UACGUAGGGGGCAAGCGUUGUCCGGAAUCAUUGGGCGUAAAGAGCGUGUAGGCGGCCAGAAAAGUCCGCUGUGAAAACUCGAGGCUCAACUUCGAGCUGUCGGUGGAAACUUUCUGGCUAGAGUCCGGAAGAGGAGAAUGGAAUUCCUGGUGUAGCGGUGAAAUGCGCAGAUAUCAGGAAGAACACCCGUGGCGAAGGCGGUUCUCUGGGACGGUACUGACGCUGAGGAGCGAAAGCGUGGGGAGCAAACAGG